ensembl:lncRNA
UGGCCUGGCGGGCGGGGCGCAGGCUGCUGGGCUCGGCUCCGCUGCAGGAGGGGUUGCACGGCGUGGUGCGGGCGUUCUCGCAGAUUCCCCCCGCCUUGGGGCCCGCAGCGAGUCAUCCAGAGUCGGAGCCCUCGUGUGGGGUCGGGGUGUGUGCGAGGCGGUGCGGGCGGCCCCGGGGCGGCUUGACUGGGCCCAGCCCGUGGUGAGGGGGUGCGGCGGCCUCUGCGGGUGCGGUUGGUCAGGAGCACAGGGGACAGCGGCGGUGGAUUCAGUCAGCGCAGCAGCGGUCUAACAUGUUUUCUUUCUAAGCCGAGGAACGUUUUAACAUGACAAUGCAUUUACUCCCGGCUGCAGCUUUUCACCAGCAGCCCUUAAAGAGUGCACAAAGGAUUGGCGUUCAUUACAGGUGGGGAGCCCCAAGCAGGUUAAGUUGGUAUAUUAGCCAGAAACUUAACCUAGGUUUUGGUGUAAGAGAGUAAGAAAUGAUUUUUUUGCAACAGUUUUGUUAGUGGGCAUGAAUAAAACUCUGUAGAAGAUCGGGGAGAAGGCAAUGCGUAAUCAAAAUAUGAAAUAUGAAAAGGAGGAUGACACGACUCGAUAGGGAAAGCUGUAUAUGCGAGGUGUUAGGCAAAAGGAAUCAGCCAGGUACAAAUGCAGGCUGGAGGAGAUGCCUCCCAAACGCUCUUUGUUGGAAACAAAGUCUAGGUUAUUGCAAACAAGGUGGCAAUGUUGUCUGUAGUAGCUUUAAAGCUUUUAAAAAUUCUUGAAUUUCCACAAAUUAAAUGCAUUUAGUAGCAGUGUGAACAACCGGCAUAGAUUUUAUAUCAUCAUAGCUUGCAUAGAUCAGGAGUUCACAUUUCAUAAAUGACAGGAAAUUGAAAUUGUGUUUACAGAAUAAUUAGGAAAAAGAAAAAAAAAGGUAUUUUAGUAACAUGAAGAGAGAGAGAAAGGAAAAAACAGAAUGAAAGAAGGGGAGAGGGGAGCUGGCAGAAUUGUUCCCUUCCAAGACAUAAGACAUUUGAUUCUUCAGUACCUGAUUCAAGUAGAUGGUGUGUUACAAUACACGAAAUUUUGCCAAAAGAAGUGGAAUGCUUACCUUCUUGAUGCACCUAGGACAUCAGUGAAUAGAAAUUAUAUUAAUGCACUGCUAAUAUUUCAAAAUGACUCCAUCUUAGAGGUCUUCCAGAUUUUUUUCUAUCUCUUUACAGUGCCCCUCCAAUGAUUAAACGCAUAUAUAUUUUUAUUUCCUUCCUUAUGAAGGAAUUCUGGUGACACUCCAUUCCUAUCCAGGAAGAACGAGAGUUAUUUUUUCUUUCUAAAACUGUCGGACUGCCCACAGAUCAGAUCUGAGAGACUCAACGUUAACAUGGGGCAAGUUUGGUUAGCAGUCGUCCAUGUUAUUGAGGACAUAAUCAGAAAGCAGAGGUGACUGCAUACAUGUAACCAGUAUGAUUGUAGGUGGUUUGCUUGGUAACUUUUCUGUGAAUUUCCUGCUCAUCACUCCUCCAGUAUUAUUUCUCUCCCUUACUAGGGCACCUUCCUUACUUCCUUUCCUUCUGCUAAUAGCUGCCAACUACUCACUUCAUAAUUAUAAACAGAAAUUAAGCUGACAGAGUUUUACAUCGUGGGAGUGAAAGGGAACCUUAUCUGAGUUGUACUAGUUAUUUAACUGGUCUUGCAGCAAGGCAAGAAAAAACUCAUUAAUUCUACUGAGAUUAUCCAGAUGUGUGCAUAAGUAAUCUUUUGUUUGUUACACAACCUUUGCUACCACAUCUGACUGCAAAUGUGAAAAUAUGCAGAGCACUGGUGUUGUCUUAGUAUAACAUAGUUUGCCUUCUGGCCAAGCUUGGUUUUAUUAUCUAUUCCAAAGAAACAAAAACGUGCCUAAUACAGUACAUUUGGGAAGUUGGUGAGCCUAUGGUGAAUCAAGAAUACAAUUUGUUCUCACGCUGGGUAAGUACUAAGAAUGAGGCUUAAGUCGAAUUCUUUUCUCACGGCAUGCUAUCUUAGCAGCACUGUUCUGUCUGCUUUUCCUAACAGGAUAACUGGUGGUGGAGAGCCGUAUGCAGGCAAGCUACAGGGACUGAAUGUUUAAGUACCCGUGUGUCACUAGUGUCGGUAAGUAAGGAGGUUACACUGAUUUGGUGAGGUCUCCCAUCUCUGAUUUUUUUUUUUCAUUGAGGUCACAUACAAAUCCUGUGGCCUGGGAGACAAAGGGGAAGAUGCCCAGCUUCAUGACUGGCGCCCCUCACUUCAUGUAAAAGCAUGUGCGCCACGCUGGCUCAUGAGACAAAGGGAAGGAAUAAAUGGGUUGGGGAAUCUGAGCCUCCAUGUUUCCUUCCAACCCUCAGAAAAUGUGUUCGUUUGUUUUGAGCUGUGUUUUGGAUGGUUUUUUGCUCCAUGAGACUGGAGUUAUGCUGUCUGUAAUUGCUUCUGCUUGCUAGAAGGGUUCUUCUCUCAGGAUGGAAGUGAGCAUAAAUUCAGAAAAGAAAGUUUUAGUUCUGUUUCUGACAUGAACUUUGCACCAGAUUUCAAACCUGGAGGGAGAGGGGUAAGCUGUGUUUGUAGGUCCAAAGAUUAGAUGCAAGAAAUCAAGUGUUUAGAGUAACAUCCAAGAGAUUAGGUACUCGUGGAUUUGUUAUUACACAUUAUUUAAUUCAACUAUGACACAAAGUUUCUGACAUAACUUCAAGUGGCAAUAUGAAUAGCAGAGUCUCAUAGCUUGAACCCAUAGAAGUGGGUAUUAAUGGAUGAUUAAUUCUUAAAUUUGGUGUAGUAAUACCUCUCAAGUAGGUUUUUUUGUUUGUUUCUUUGUUUUUAAGAGAAAAAGUCACAUUUAUCCAGUUAGGACUCUCCAGCCUUCUGUCAAGUGUCCAGGUUAACACAUUUCAGUCAACUCAGGCAUAUUUUGUCAAAACUUAUGGGGAAUGCUGACUCAGGUUAAGGCAGAACCCACAAGGCACUGAACUAAUUGUGCAAUGCUUUAUGUGGAAAAAUGACUUCCUGAUCCCUGCAUUAGCUGCCAGUGCUUUGAAACAUGAUGUUUGAACAUCUGCAUUGUGUAUUUACAUGCCAAAUAAAAGUAUUAAACUUAUAAUUUGUAAUAUUCACAUUUUAUAUAUAUAUAUGUUCAGAUUUAACUAUAAUAUUCAAUUCCUCUCAUUGCUUUUACACAAUAUUCUGCCUUUCAUCAAGGGAUUAUUCUCAUACACGCUUCUAGAUUCCUUAAUUUUUAAAAUGUCAAAAUGUCAUCCACCACCUCAGGGUGUUCAUUUCUACUGUGAACUCCUUGUUCUGAGAGAUGCUGGGUAGUGCCCAUGUAGCUGGAAAACUGUGCAAUGAAUUUCUAAUACACUGAGCUGUUUGAGCUGACUGAAAUGCAAGCUGCAAGCAGAUAGUGAAAAUGGCCGUAAAUCUGUAAGUCUGGGAACAUGUACACAGCUUUAUUAAUCUGAGGCUUUAUAAGCAAUGUAGAUUAUUCGUAGCAUAUUCGAUUGUCUCAGAAUAGAUGUGGUUUUAUCAAGUUUACUCCAGAGUGUUUUGACAUAAUGCCAGGAAAAUGGCUUUUGGUGGAAAGUGUGUUGGUGAAAACUAGCCACAAAAUGCAUUUUCGUAGAGCAGGCUGAAUAGCUGGUUCUAUAUCAGAAGCAUAUUUACGUUUGGGAGCCAGAGAUGUUUCCCAUGGUUGGAGUAUCUUGGAGCCUUGCAGUCAGGUAAACCCUGCUCUCCUGCAGAAACUCAGAGGGGGUCUGGCAGACACCCAAAGACCCUUGGGCACAUACAUCCCCAUAGGGUUUAGCGCGUAUUUCUAAAAGGAGUGGAGUUUAUACCACCAGAGGCCAGAGGGGACCUCUGGAGGGGUUUUAUUAAACUCCUGGUUUUUAUUCCUGUUGAAGACCACCUAUACUUUAGCCUAGCUGGCAGACUAAUGAUGCAGCUGGGUUGAACAAGUGUUGAUUUAAUUUCUACACAGUUGCAGUGUCACAUUCCUGGAGGUGAGCAAAGGGGCAGGUACAGGGAAUGAAGUAUACAAACAUGUCACAGAACAGAUCUGUCUCUGUUACGGGACAUUACCCAUGCUAAUCUAUAGAAGUGUACUUGAAAGUCCUGUUUGUUUAGGUUUACACCAAAACAUGGUUUUGCCAAGUGCUUAUAGCCGAUGGAGAAUCAGUUCCUGGGGUGUGCAGUACAGUGUAUGGUGGUGUUUCAGAGUGUGCCAGUGUAUGAAAGGCUCAUAGCAUUGCAGAGGGCUUAUUCUUUUAGGUAGAAGAUGUCAGAAUAGACUCAGAUGGGAAAUUUUUCUGCGCUGCCUUGGAUAACAAGGUUAAGAAAAAAAACACCACAAUUUAAAUAAAUCAGAUGUUUUUGCCGAAGAUUAUGCUGUCAUUUUCUCCAAUUAUUCUUGACAUUUCACCCAUGCAUAUUGUGAUGUGAGUUAAUAAUGGAAGAAACACCAGCUCUCGUUGCCUUGUUUAUUCUUUGUUCUCAAGGAGAUAAGCUGUUUAUAAAGAUAACUUAUUUGUUAUUUAAA